UACAGAGGUCUCAAGCGUUGUUCGGAUUCAUUGGGCGUAAAGGGUGUGUAGGUGGCGCCGUAAGUCGGGUGUGAAAUUUCGGAGCUUAACUCCGAAACUGCAUUCGAUACUGCCGUGCUUGAGGACUGGAGAGGAGACUGGAAUUUACGGUGUAGCGGUGAAAUGCGUAGAUAUCGUAAGGAAGACCAGUGGCGAAGGCGGGUCUCUGGA
rnacentral:rRNA from 1 species